rnacentral:SRP_RNA from 1 species
GCUGGGUGUGGUGGCAUGCACCUGUAGUCCCAGCUACUUGGGAGGCUGAGGUGGGAGGAUUGCUCGAGCCCAGGAGUUCGAGGCUGCAGUGAGCCGAGAUCAUGCCACUGCACUCCAGCCUGGGUGACAGAGUGAGACCCUGUCUCAA